UCCUUUUCUAGAAAUUACUAAUACUGUGCUGCUGCAUUCCAAGUCUGGCAUGUGUUGAUUCUGAGAUGUCCUCCAGUUUCUGGGAAAAAUCCUCUUUCAUCCAGUCUGGACAAAAAUUAAUCUCAUCAAGUUUGUCUUCUAACAGCUUUAUUGUUACCAUCCUUCUUCUCAAAGAUGCGUGACUAGUGUCGAUCGAUGGUCGAGUGUAACCAUCGAUCGAUGCUUCUGAUUGGAUCACAGAGUGUGUCUGAAUCAUGUAUAUCUCCUUUUUCAGCAUAUCUCCUUUUUCAUUCCAUUAAUGUCUUCCAUCUUAUUAUUUUCUAUUAUCUAUUUUUUAAAUUGUUCAUACCCACUAUUUUUCUUAAGUUCUUAAUUCAAGUUUCGUUUAAUUUGAAUUCAACACAUACGAGUUGAAGGCACAAGUUAGAUGGUGAGUUAUUUUGAAAGACAUUUAUUGAUCAUUGAUCGAAAGAUUGAUCGAAAGGCAAUUAUAAUGUAAAAGACUAGGAACGUAUGAAAAGAUGAUCAAUGCGGCAAGGAAAAAUAAAUUAUGAAAAUACUAAUCUUGUGCCGAAUUGUGUGUGUUUGUAAGAUUCUCAUC
rnacentral:lncRNA from 1 species